rnacentral:rRNA from 1 species
GAUGAACGCUGGCGGCGUGCUUAACACAUGCAAGUCGAACGAAGAUGCCGGAGUGCUUGCACUUUGGCAGACUGAGUGGCGGACGGGUGAGUAACGCGUGGGUAACCUGCCUUAUACAGGGGGAUAACAGUUGGAAACGACUGCUAAUACCGCAUAAGCGCACGGUAUCGCAUGAUACAGUGUGAAAAACUCCGGUGGUAUAAGAUGGACCCGCGUCUGAUUAGCUUGUUGGUGAGGUAACGGCCCACCAAGGCGACGAUCAGUAGCCGGCCUGAGAGGGUGAACGGCCACAUUGGGACUGAGACACGGCCCAAAACUCCUACGGGAGGCAGCAGUGGGGAAUAUUGCACAAUGGGGGAAACCCUGAUGCAGCGACGCCGCGUGAGUGAUGAAGUAUUUCGGUAUGUAAAACUCUAUCAGCAGGGAAGAUAAAUGACGGUACCUGACUAAGAAGCACCGGCUUAAANACGUG